UACGUAGGUGGCAAGCGUUAUCCGGAAUUAUUGGGCGUAAAGAGCGCGCAGGUGGUUGAUUAAGUCUGAUGUGAAAGCCCACGGCUUAACCGUGGAGGGUCAUUGGAAACUGGUCGACUUGAGUGCAGAAGAGGGAAGUGGAAUUCCAUGUGUAGCGGUGAAAUGCGUAGAGAUAUGGAGGAACACCAGUGGCGAAGGCGGCUUCCUGGUCUGUAACUGACACUGAGGCGCGAAAGCGUGGGGAGGCAAACAGGAUUAGAUACCCGGGUA
rnacentral:rRNA from 1 species